UGCCCCAUGGCUCAGUUGGUUAGAGCGCAUGACUGUUAUCUUUGUGGCAAUCAUGAGGUCCUGAGUUCAAGCCUCAGUGGGGCAG
rnacentral:tRNA from 1 species